rnacentral:lncRNA from 1 species
UUGGUUCAGGUGUAGUUGUAUAAGUAGUGGUAGUUUGUUCAGGUGUUGUGGUAGUUAUUUCGGGGGUAGUAGUUGGAUCACUGGUAGUGGUAGUAGUUGGUUCAGGUGAAGUGGCUGUUGGCACCAUGGUAGUGGAUGUAGUUUGUUCGGGUGUUGUAGUUUGUGCAGUAGUAGUAGUUGGUUCAGGUGUAGUUGUUGUAUAAGUAGUGGUAGUUUGAUCAGGUGUUGUGGUAGUUUUUUCAGGGGUAGUAGUUGGCUCACUGGUAGUGGUUGUAGUUAUAACAGUUGUAGUCAAUGUUGUUGGUUCAUCAGUAGUAGUAGUUGGUUCAGGUGUAGUUGUUGUAUAAGUAGUGGUAGUUUUUUCAGGUGUUGUGGUAGUUAUUUCAGGGGUAGUAGUUGGCUCACUGGUAGUGGUCAUAGUUAUAGCAGUUGUAGUCAAUGUUGUUGGCUCAUUAGUAGUAGUAGUUGGUUCAGGUGUAGUUGUUGUAUAAGUAGUGGUAGUUUGUUCAGGUGUUGUGGUAGUUAAUUUAGGGGUAGUAGUUAUAACAGUUGUAGUCAAUGUUGUUGGCUCAUUAGUAGUAGUAGUUGAUUCAGGUGUAGUUAAGGAUUCUGGCGUUGUUGUUGUUGAAGUUGCUGACGAUGUUGUAGUCGAGU